rnacentral:rRNA from 1 species
ACGUAGGGGGCUAGCGUUGUCCGGAUUUACUGGGCGUAAAGCGCGUGCAGGCGGUUCGUUAAGUCCCGUGUUAAAGCCUCCAGCUCAACUGGAGAACGCCGCGGGAUACUGGCGAGCUUGAGGGCGGUAGAGGGUGAUGGAAUUCCCGGUGUAGCGGUGAAAUGCGUAGAUAUCGGGAGGAACGCCAGUGGCGAAGGCGGUCACCUGGGCCGUCCCUGACGCUGAGACGCGACAGCUGGGGGAGCGAACGGGA